UCUCCGUAGGUGAACCUGCGGAGGGAUCAUUACCGAGUUCGUGCCCCGCUGCGGGGUAGAUCUCCCACCCUUGUUUAUCUUCGUACCUUUUCGUUGCUUUGGCGGGCCGCUCAGGCUUCGGCCUGGCCACCGGCUCCCCUGAAGGGGGCGGGUGCGCGCCUGCCAGAGGACCCCUCCAACUCUGUUUGUCAGUGUCGUCUGAGUACUAUAACCAAUCGUUAAAACUUUCAACAACGGAUCUCUUGGUUCUG
rnacentral:misc_RNA from 1 species